ensembl:misc_RNA Y_RNA Y RNA
GUCUGGUCCAAAUGCAGUGGUAUUUACAACUAAUUGAUUACAACCAGUUACAGAUUUCUUUGCUCCUUCUCCACUUCCACUACUUUACUUGACUAGCCUUAG